rnacentral:rRNA from 1 species
AAUAGAUACCCAGGUAGUCCACGCCGUAAACGAUGGAUACUAGCUGUUUGAGCGCAAGUUUGAGUGGCUAAGCGAAAGUGAUAAGUAUCCCACCUGGGGAGUACGGGCGCAAGCCUGAAACUCAAAGGAAUUGACGGGGGCCCGCACAAGCGGUGGAGCAUGUGGUUUAAUUCGAUGAUACGCGAGGAACCUUACCAGGGCUUAAAUGUAGAUUGACGUAUUUGGAAACAGAUAUUUCUUCGGACAAUUUACAAGGUGCUGCAUGGUUGUCGUCAGCUCGUGCCGUGAGGUGUCAGGUUAAGUCCUAUAACGAGCGCAACCCCUGUUGUUAGUUGCCAGCGAGUAAUGUCGGGAACUUCUAGCAAGACUGCCAGUGUAAACUGUGAGGAAGGUGGGGAUGACGUCAAAUCAUCACGGCCCUUACGUCCUGGGCCACACACGUGCUACAAUGGCCGGUACAGAGAGCAGCCACUUAGCGAUAAGGAGCGAAUCUAUAAAGCCGGUCACAGUUCGGA